rnacentral:rRNA from 1 species
UCCAGACUCCUACGGGAGGCAGCAGUGGGGGAUAUUGCACAAUGGGGGGAACCCUGAUGCAGCGACGCCGCGUGGGUGAAGGAGCGUUUCGGCGCGUAAAGCCCUCUCGGCAGGGAAGAAGGAGGACGGUACCUGACUAAGAAGCCCCGGCUAACUACGUGCCAGCAGCCGCGGUAAUACGUAGGGGGCAAGCGUUAUCCGGAUUUACUGGGUGUAAAGGGGGCGCAGACGGCAGCGCAAGCCAGGAGUGAAAGCCCGGGGCCCAACCCCGGGACUGCUCUUGGAACUGCGCGGCUGGAGUGCAGGAGGGGCAGGCGGAAUUCCUGGUGUAGCGGUGAAAUGCGUAGAUAUCAGGAGGAACACCGGUGGCGAAGGCGGCCUGCUGGACUGCGACUGACGUUGAGGCCCGAAAGCGUGGGGAGCAAACAGGAUUAGAUACCCUGGUAU